GUGAAAUCCAAUGGCUCAACCAUUGAACUGCAUUUGAAAACUGUUGACCUAGAAUAUGGGAGAGGUAGAUGGAAUUUCUGGUGUAGGGGUAAAAUCCGUAGAGAUCAGAAGGAAUACCGAUUGCGAAGGCGAUCUACUGGAACAUUAUUGACGCUGAGACGCGAAAGCGUGGGGAGCAAACAGGAUUAGAUACCCUGGUAGUCCACGCCCUAAACGAUGUACACUAGUUGUUGUGAGGCUAGACCUUGCAGUAAUGCAGUUAACACAUUAAGUGUACCGCCUGGGGAGUACGGUCGCAAGAUUAAAACUCAAAGGAAUAGACGGGGACCCGCACAAGCGGUGGAGCAUGUGGUUUAAUUCGACGAUACGCGAAGAACCUUACCUGGACUUGACAUAGAAAGAAUAACGCAGAGAUGUGAUAGUGCUAGCUUGCUAGAACUUUCAUACAGGUGCUGCACGGCUGUCGUCAGCUCGUGUCGUGAGAUGUUGGGUUAAGUCCCGCAACGAGCGCAACCCUCGUCGUUAGUUGCUAACAGUUCGGCUGAGAACUCUAACGAGACUGCCUGGGUAACCAGGAGGAAGGUGAGGACGACGUCAAGUCAUCAUGGCCCUUACGUCCAGGGCUACACACGUGCUACAAUGGGGCAUACAAAGAGCAGCGAUACCGCGAGGUGGAGCAAAUCUCAAAAAUGCCUCCCAGUUCGGAUAGUAGUCUGCAACUCGACUACUUGAAGUUGGAAUCGCUAGUAAUCGUAGAUCAGCAAUGCUACGGUGAAUACGUUCCCGGGUCUUGUACUCACCGCCCGUCACACCAUGGGAGUUGAACUCAUUCGAAGCGGGGAUGCUAAAGUAGCUACCCU
rnacentral:rRNA from 1 species